rnacentral:rRNA from 1 species
GUCGCACGGAGCGAAAGCUCAGUGGCGGACGGGUGAGUAACACGUAGGAACCUGCCCAGAAGUGGGGGAUAACUCCUCGAAAGAGGAGCUAAUACCGCAUACGGUCCACGGACCAAAGCAGCAAUGCGCUUCUGGAGGGGCCUGCGUCCGAUUAGCUAGUUGGUGGGGUAAAGGCCUACCAAGGCGAUGAUCGGUAGCUGGUCUGAGAGGAUGGACAGCCACACUGGGACUGAGACACGGCCCAGACUCC